AUGAACGCUAGCUACAGGCUUAACACAUGCAAGUCGAGGGGCAGCAUUUCAGUUUGCUUGCAAACUGGAGAUGGCGACCGGCGCACGGGUGAGUAACACGUAUCCAACCUGCCGAUAACUCGGGGAUAGCCUUUCGAAAGAAAGAUUAAUACCCGAUGGUAUAAUUAGACCGCAUGGUCUUGUUAUUAAAGAAUUUCGGUUAUCGAUGGGGAUGCGUUCCAUUAGGCAGUUGGUGAGGUAACGGCUCACCAAACCUUCGAUGGAUAGGGGUUCUGAGAGGAAGGUCCCCCACAUUGGAACUGAGACACGGUCCAAACUCCUACGGGAGGCAGCAGUGAGGAAUAUUGGUCAAUGGGCGCAGGCCUGAACCAGCCAAGUAGCGUGAAGGAUGACUGCCCUAUGGGUUGUAAACUUCUUUUAUAUGGGAAUAAAGUUUUCCACGUGUGGAAUUUUGUAUGUACCAUAUGAAUAAGGAUCGGCUAACUCCGUGCCAGCAGCCGCGGUAAUACGGAGGAUCCGAGCGUUAUCCGGAUUUAUUGGGUUUAAAGGGAGCGUAGGUGGACAGUUAAGUCAGUUGUGAAAGUUUGCGGCUCAACCGUAAAAUUGCAGUUGAUACUGGCUGUCUUGAGUACAGUAGAGGUGGGCGGAAUUCGUGGUGUAGCGGUGAAAUGCUUAGAUAUCACGAAGAACUCCGAUUGCGAAGGCAGCUCACUGGACUGCAACUGACACUGAUGCUCGAAAGUGUGGGUAUCAAACAGGAUUAGAUACCCUGGUAGUCCACACAGUAAACGAUGAAUACUCGCUGUUUGCGAUAUACAGUAAGCGGCCAAGCGAAAGCAUUAAGUAUUCCACCUGGGGAGUACGCCGGCAACGGUGAAACUCAAAGGAAUUGACGGGGACCCGCACAAGCGGUGGAGCAUGUGGUUUAAUUCGAAGCAACGCGAAGAACCUUACCAGGUCUUGACAUACCAUUGACCGUUCUAGAGAUAGGAUUUUCCCUUCGGGGACAAUGGAUACAGGUGGUGCAUGGUUGUCGUCAGCUCGUGUCGUGAGAUGUUGGGUUAAGUCCCGCAACGAGCGCAACCCUUAUCUUUAGUUACUAACAGGUCAUGCUGAGGACUCUAGAGAGACUGCCGUCGUAAGAUGUGAGGAAGGUGGGGAUGACGUCAAAUCAGCACGGCCCUUACGUCCGGGGCUACACACGUGUUACAAUGGGGGGUACAGAAGGCAGCUACCUGGUGACAGGAUGCUAAUCCCAAAAGCCUCUCUCAGUUCGGAUCGAAGUCUGCAACCCGACUUCGUGAAGCUGGAUUCGCUAGUAAUCGCGCAUCAGCCAUGGCGCGGUGAAUACGUUCCCGGGCCUUGUACACACCGCCCGUCAAGCCAUGAAAGCCGGGGGUACCUGAAGUACGUAACCGCAAGGAGCGUCCUAGGGUAAAACUGGUAAUUGGGGCU
rnacentral:rRNA from 1 species